UACGGAGGAUCCAAGCGUUAUCCGGAUUUAUUGGGUUUAAAGGGUGCGUAGGCGGAAUAGUAAGUCAGUGGUGAAAGCCUGUCGCUUAACGACAGAACUGCCAUUGAUACUGCUAAUCUUGAGUAUAAUUGAAGUGGGCGGAAUGUGUCGUGUAGCGGUGAAAUGCUUAGAUAUGACACAGAACACCGAUUGCGAAGGCAGCUCACUAAACUAUAACUGACGCUGAGGCACGAAAGCGUGGGGAUCAAACAGGAUUAGAUACCCUGGUAGUCCACGCUGUAAACUAUGAUUACUCGAUGUGUGCGAUAUACAGUACGCGUCUUAGCGAAAGUGAUAAGUAAUCCACCUGGGGAGUACGCUCGCAAGAGUGAA
rnacentral:rRNA from 1 species